rnacentral:lncRNA from 1 species
CAACACUUUUAAUGUCAUAAUUCUUCAAUUACAAUUUGUUGUAUGAAGAAAUAAGAGUUGCUUUGAACAACUCUUAGUUAAAUGCAAACAUUAGUGCUUGUUUCUUUGUUACAUGAACAAAGAACUUGAGAAGAAAGCACAAGGGCAUGGACACUUUAUGUGCCAUGAUUCUUCACUUACAAAUUGUUGUACGAAGAAAUGAGAGUUGCCUUGAACAACUCUUGAAAGUUUGUAAUUAUGUUUAGAACAUAAUGGUUGGUUGACAAAAAUAGUCCAUCAACAUGGACUUAUGAUGAUUUUGAAUCAUUGAGUGUUGAAGUGUUAAACCACUUCUAGAAACGGAAACUAGGCUAGGACUUCACCUUUAUGUCCCUAUCCUAAUGGUUCACUAAGUUUAUUGUAAAC